rnacentral:rRNA from 1 species
GACAGAGGGUGCCAACGUUGCUCGGAAUGACUGGGCGUAAAGCGCGUGUAGGCGGCUUCGCGAGUCCGAUGUGAAAGCCCGGGGCUCAACCCCGGAAGGGCAUGGGAUACUACGGAGCUGGAGGCCUGUAGAGGAGAGCGGAAUUCCCGGUGUAGAGGUGAAAUUCGUAGAUAUCGGGAGGAACACCAGUGGCGAAGGCGGCUCUCUGGACAGGUACUGACGCUGAGACGCGAAAGCGUGGGUAGCAAACAGG